GAGUUUGAUUAUGGCUCAGGAUGAACGCUAGCGGGAGGCCUAACACAUGCAAGCCGAGCGGGAUUUGUUGGUUAGCUUGCUAACUAACAAUGAGAGCGGCGUACGGGUGCGUAACACGUGUGCAACCUGCCUUUAUCUGGGGGAUAGCCUUUCGAAAGGAAGAUUAAUACCCCAUAAUAUAUUGAUUGGCAUCAGUUAAUAUUGAAAGCUCCGGCGGAUAGAGAUGGGCACGCGUAAGAUUAGCUAGUUGGUGAGGUAACGGCUCACCAAGGCUGCGAUCUUUAGGGGGCCUGAGAGGGUGAUCCCCCACACUGGUACUGAGACACGGACCAGACUCCUACGGGAGGCAGCAGUGAGGAAUAUUGGACAAUGGGUGAGAGCCUGAUCCAGCCAUCCCGCGUGAAGGACUAAGGACCUAUGGUUUGUAAACUUCUUUUAUACAGGGAUAAACCUACUCUCGUGAGGGUAGCUGAAGGUACU
rnacentral:rRNA from 1 species